AUCAAACUGGACUACAGGUCUCAGUGAUCUAUUUGCAAAGGAGUUGCCUUUGUUUCAGCUGUAUAUUUGUCCACUCGCCGAAGCAGAGCUGCGGGGAUAAAGAAUCACUACAGCGGGCAUCGCGUUGGACUAGAACCGCUGGGAGAAGCAAUUGUUGCGGUGUGGUUUCAGACUGUUUCUCCACUCAAUUCGAUCAAGUACAGAAGCCAUUUUUCAAACAGUGGGUGAGUAAUGUCAUUACAUUAUUUUGCUUAGCGUCAAAAACAUGUUCAUCCUUCAUAUAAUCAUGUACCCUUUUGCUCACCCGCUGUGUUUACUGUCGAUCUGUGUUAACCAUUGAUCCAACUCUCGCCCAAGAGAGAGAGAUGGGUUGCGGAUUAGAAAUAUCCGCGAAUGUCAGAUUUGCUGAGGUUUGUGCUAACUUGAGAUAUGUAAAAUGAUAAUGAUAUGAAUCAGAUCCAAUCAUAAACGCUUUCUUUGGUAUCUCUGUUCAUGUUUUGUGUUCACAGCCAUUUCAUUGCUCCCUGAUGGUCAUAAAUACAGCGGAUGAUUGACAGAAGUCACGUGACUCAAACAGAAGACUGUUGUAAAAUAUUGCACCAAUUAAUACAAUUAAAUACAUUUUUUUGUACCAUGUUUUCUGGGUUUACCAUCUGAGAGAUUAAAGCAGACACCAUCGCUUGGAUGUGUCUUGUGGGUGCUAUCUUAUGCAUCAUGAAAUCAAGGUGCGGUUUGGGAAGAACCAAAAUCCUAAUGUAGAGGCUGCUCUUUAGUUUCUGACAAUGAACAUCUAAAAUGAGGAGAGACGUGGAGUCCAGAAAGAAAUUGUAUCUGGAGAGGGAUGCUACACUGCUUGUUUACCAUUUUUAUUUCGAGAAAACAGCAGAUUUAUCUUCUGUCUGGACAAUGUAAGUACUAAGUUAUCUAUUUUUUGUGUUUUUUAUGUAAUGAAAGACUGAAAAUCUAAAUGUUUUUUUUUUUUUUAGUAUUUUUAGUUACUCAGUAGAUGUUAAAUGUUUUUU